rnacentral:tRNA from 1 species
GAGGAGAUGGCAGAGUGGUUAAACGCGCUUGGCUGUAAACCAAGUUCUUUGUAGAUACGUUGGUUCAAAUCCAACUCUUCUCA